rnacentral:rRNA from 1 species
UACGUAGGGGGCAAGCGUUGUCCGGAUUUAUUGGGCGUAAAGAGCGUGUAGGCGCCAGACAGGUCCGUUGUGAAAACUGGAGGCUCAACCUCCAGACGUCGAUGGAAACCGUCUGGCUAGAGUCCGGAAGAGGAGAGUGGAAUUCCUGGUGGUAGCGGUGAAAUGCGCAGAUAUCAGGAAGAACACCCGUGGCGAAAGCGGCUCUCUGGGACGGUACUGACGCUGAGACGCGAAAGCGUGGGGAGCGAACAGG